rnacentral:rRNA from 1 species
UGGUGGAGUGAUUUGUCUGGUUAAUUCCGUUAACGAACGAGACCUCGACCUGCUAAAUAGUCCAGCGAAUCUUCGGCUUCGUCUGCGACUUCUUAGAGGGACUUUGCCUGUUUAGGGCAAGGAAGUGCGAGGCAAUAACA